AACGAACGCUGGCGGCAGGCUUAACACCUGCAAGUCGAGCGCCCCGCAAGGGGAGCGGCAGACGGGUGAGUAACGCGUGGGAACAUACCCUUUCCUGCGGAAUAGCUCCGGGAAACUGGAAUUAAUACCGCAUAUGCCCUACGGGGCAAAGAUUUAUCGGGGAAGGAUUGGCCCGCGUUGGAUUAGCUAGUUGGUGGGGUAAAGGCCUACCAAGGCGACGAUCCAUAGCUGGUCUGAGAGGAUGAUCAGCCACAUUGGGACUGAGACACGGCCCAAACUCCUACGGGAGGCAGCAGUGGGGAAUAUUGUACAAUGGGCGCAAGCCUGAUCCAGCCAUGCCGCGUGAGUGAUGAAGGCCUUAGGGUUGUAAAGCUCUUUCACCGGAGAAGAUAAUGACGUUAUCCGGAGAAGAAGCCCCGGCUAACUUCGUGCCAGCCGCCGCCGUAA
rnacentral:rRNA from 1 species